rnacentral:misc_RNA from 1 species
AUGAGUUAUUAAAACUCCAAACCCUAUGUGAACCUUACCGUCGUUGCCUCGGCGUGAGCUACGGCUACCCUGUAGUUACCCUGGAGCUACCCUAUAGCUACCCUGUAGUACCCUACAGCUACCCUAUAGGUACCCUGGAGCUACCCUGUAGACGGCUUAUGGCCCGCCGAAGGACCGCUAAACUCUUGUUUUUAUUGCUGUUAUUCUGAAUUAUAAACUAAAAUAAGUUA